rnacentral:rRNA from 1 species
AACGAACGCUGGCGGCAUGCCUAACACAUGCAAGUCGAACGAACCCUUCGGGGUUAGUGGCGCACGGGUGCGUAACGCGUGGGAAUCUGCCCUUUGCUUCGGAAUAACUCAGGGAAACUUGUGCUAAUACCGGAUGAUGUCUUCGGACCAAAGAUUUAUCGGCAAGGGAUGAGCCCGCGUAGGAUUAGGUAGUUGGUGGGGUAAAGGCCUACCAAGCCGACGAUCCUUAGCUGGUCUGAGAGGAUGAUCAGCUACACUGGGACUGAGACACGGCCCAGACUCCUACGGGAGGCAGCAGUGGGGAAUAUUGGACAAUGGGCGCAAGCCUGAUCCAGCAAUGCCGCGUGAGUGAUGAAGGCCCUCGGGUCGUAAAGCUCUUUUACCAGGGAUGAUAAUGACAGUACCUGGAGAAUAAGCUCCGGCUAACUCCGUG